rnacentral:rRNA from 1 species
GAUGAACGCUGGCGGCGUGCCUAAUACAUGCAAGUCGAGCGAACAGACGAGGAGCUUGCUCCGCUUAUGUUAGCGGCGGACGGGUGAGUAACACGUGGAGAACCUACCUAUAAGACUGGGAUAACUUCGGGAAACCGGAGCUAAUACCGGCUAACAUGUUGAACCGCAUGGUUCAACAGUGAAAGACGGUCUUGCUGUAACUAAUAGAGUAGGCCGCGCCGCAUUAGCUAGUUGUUAAGGUAACGGCUUACCAAGGCAACGACGCGUAGCCGACCUGAGACGGUGAUCGGCCACACUGGAACUGAGACACGGUCCAGACUCCUACGGGAGGCAGCAGUCGGGCAUCUUCCGCAAUGAGCGAAAGCCUGAAGGAGCAAAGCCGCGUGAGUGAAGAAGGUCUUCGGAUCGUAAAACUCUGUUAUUAGGGAAGAACAAAUUUGUAAGCAAAUAUGCACGUAUUGACGGUACCUAAUCAGAAAGCCACGGCUAACUACGCG